rnacentral:lncRNA from 1 species
AACAACUGCAGGGAUAAGAAUAGCCCAUGGCUGACAGUGCAUUUGCUUCUACUUGUCCUGGUCAAGGUUUUCUAAUUCGGGCCCAAGAGAGUAUUCAUGUCUCCAGGAGGCCACCCUAUGGCACGUUAGGCAUUCUUGAGAGACUGGCGGCCUCAGUCCUUGUGUUUGGAGCAGUUCUGCUAGAGGAGGAAACAGCACAAAGGGCACUCUUAUGCUGCUGUAAACCAGUGCCAGGAUUUUUAAAAUGUGAGACACCUGUUACCCUAGAGUGUGAAGAGGAGGAGAAAGGCUGAAGAGGAGGAGAAAGGCUAAGAUCUUUUCCAAUGCAAAAUUAGGAAAAAAUAUACUACAGAUUUAUGAAAAAAUAAGAAGUGAAAGUAUUCUCUGACUGCAAGUAUGACCACCUGUCUUUCUAUAUCAGAACCCAAGCUAAAAGACUGCAUUUACUACCCUUCCUUGCUAACAAGAGUGACUACGUGACUAUGUUCUGGCCAAUGCAAACAGCCUGAAAAGCUGAUGUAAUGACUGGAUCUUCAGCAGCCACCUUGAGCAAGAGGUAGAAGCUAGAGGCUGAGGAAUGAUGGAGCAGAAAGGAAGGAGCUGGGGUUCCUAUUAACAUCCUGAAGCUACACUAUCAGGCCUGGACUGACCAACUCUUUCUGGCCUUCUUUUACAAGAGAAAAAUACAGUUAUUUAAACCACUAUACUUCUGUUUUCUUUUUUGGGGUAUAGAUAACUGAACCUAAUCCUGUCCCAAAUCCUGAUCCUAUCUAACCAGUGUUAGCUAUCAGCCCAUACGUAUACUGGAGAAUGACGUUUAACAAAAUAAGAUGUUAAAGUUCUAACUAAUUGUAAUAAUCAUGCAGUUUUCUCAUGCUGAACAAAGUUAAAGAAAUAUAAUGUGUGUUUCCUAAAGAGUGUCAUUUUUUGGAAAGAUAACAUGGGGCACAAAGUAACAUAAAAAUCUACAUAUAAUUAUGUAAACAUUGCUUUGACAUACAACACCAAAUAUUUUUAUUGUAUUUGUGAAUGCAUUUCUUGGUAAUAAAACGGCAGUUAUGAAUAAGUGAUACUUGGAAAGCUAUAACAUAAUGGGAGGAGAAGGUAUUAACACUGUGAUUUUAUGGGGUUGAAUCAGUUUUAGUUUCUUAUACAACUCAGAGCUUUACGUUAUUUAGACUGUCUAAACACUGGCGCAAGGUAGCAUUUUACUUAUCAAAACACUGGAGGAGGCAGUCUAUUUUAUGUGGGAAUAAUAGCUUUUUAACAGUGUUCGAUUAGGAGACAUUAGGAACCUUGCCUUGAAAACCAUUAGCAAAUUUAUCUAGAAGAUUUUACGUUACAUCUUAAAACAACCAGCUGCUAAGGACAUCCUAAACUGCUUAGUAUGCCAAUUUGCCUCAGAUGCUUGCCAUAUAAGCUGCUUUCAGGAGUCAGCAAUGAGUAUCAUAGAUACUUGAGGAUAAAAGGUUGAAGGAUAUUGGCAUUCAAAGAUGAAGCCAGAAACCCUGUACAGCCAAAAAAAUUAAACUUGCAUUUUACUUUGGAGUGAAAUGUCUUUGCUAUUUCCAAAGUUUUUAACUUUUGGGUUCUCAACUAGCCCUAGCAAUAUAAGGGCCUGACUAAUGACUCUUCCCAACAUUGUCAAACUUAAUUCAAACUUGAAAUCAAUCCCCUUUUUUUUCCUCCUAAAGCAAAGUAACUCACAAUAAUAAUAUGAGUACAUGUGAAUGGCCAAUUUAGAAGUUUAAGUCAUUCUUUUGUAAUCAGUACUAGAAUUAACUAGUGAUUUUUUUUUUUGGCAAGGAAUAACAAAAUAAUAGAAACUCCAUAUAUAUUAGAAAAAGAUCUGUAAGUUUGAGCCUUAUAUAUUAUUACAAUGUGGCAAUCAAGAGGAAAACUCAAGACAACUGUGCGCUGUGCUUGUCCUGUUUUGUUCAAACCACGAUAAUUUUAAAUAAAUAGUAAUGUUCAACAUUCACUGAUGACAUUAUCUAUCAACCACAUCACACCUGGAACACAGUAGAUAAUAAAUGGCAGCUGUUAUACCUUCCUUCUUGAAACAAAAUCCUGUCAUUUCAUUCUCAUUUUAACUUUGUGUUAAGCUUCUACAAUCCAUAAAAAUGAUAAAACAAUAAAAUGGUCCAACAUUAUCUAGUCCAGUCUUAUUUUUACAAAACAUUGACUUUAAAAGUCCCUGAGAUUUUAAUUUUACUGGUUUAAUCUGUCUUCCCUACCCUUGUUUAAAAAAAAAUAGAAUCAUGUGUCAUUAUUGGUUGAGUACCCG